rnacentral:sRNA from 1 species
GACCUAAACCCUAAAACCUUUAAUUUUUUAGAGCAUGGUUGCAAGUCCUGAGCAAUAAAGAUGGUCUUCUGACCAGUGCUUGUUGCUCAGGUCUAUGCCCGAAAGGGCGUAGGGUGGUUUCGAAAGAGACUGUC